UCACCGAUUUCGACGAUUGGGUCACAGAUUUCGGCGUUUGGCUCACCAAUUACGACGUUCAAACCAAUUUCGACGUUUCCACCAAACCCCAACGACGACAGUGCACUCCGGCGGGUCUUUAACUACCCGUUCCUGCCGCCCCCGGUCGAUAGCGGAAUCCUGCCACGCGACUCCCGGGAAUAUCACCUGCACGGCGAACCAGGAGAGUACCUGAGCCGAACUGCAAUUGGAGCUUGUGUGAAUUGAGUGCUCGACCCCACCUAUAUACGUAAAUUUUUUUAUUCUACCUCACCGGGUUAAUUAAUUUAAUAAAUUUUUUUUGUUCAUGGUACCCUGGUUUUAUUUACUUCCUCAAUAGACCAGGGGAACCGUGACACUGGCGCCCAACAUGGUU